UAGUUAUAACACUUAUAUACCGUUAUGAUAUUUACGUACUUAGAUAGUUAGAUAGAUAGAUAAUUAUAUACAUAUUAUUUACAUGAUAUUUUUAAGGCACACGAAGAAAAUCAAGCAAUUCAAGAAAUAUUUUUAAGUGCGAUGUCGCAACAUCCGCGAUAUUUUCACAUCAGGGAUGCUUUGUUAUCCCACCGCUGUCACCAGUUGUUACGUCCAGACGAUCGUUCGGACGUCGGAGUGGGUUAAUCAGUGAGAAAGAGUGAAUUGAAACCUUCGCGAUAUUGUGUGAGUGGCUCACAUGAACGAGGAGAGACGGUAACUGUGGCUCUUGGACCAUGGCACUCGAUUGCUCCCGAUUUGCAACGACCGGUGAUUCUACGCGAGGAUCAGUUUUUACUGUCGGUGGCGGAACGGUGUUUAGCACGCGCGGAUCGAAAUCGCCGCCGGAAUAAUAGGCUCGUUGUAGCUUUUUCAGUUGAUGAGCACGUCCCGAUCGUCUGGAUCGCACCAUUGAUGAAAAAAUGUACCUACCUUGGUAACUUGAUGACCUCCGAGAACAAAGAAGGAACAGAGGAAUUUAGAGAACGCCCUGAGAGAGGCGCGCAUUGACGGAAGGAUCGGUUGAGAACGCCCUGAGAGAGGCGCGCAUCAACGGGUAUCCGGUAGAAAUCAGUGUAAGAUAAAAGAAGGAUAAAUCUUUAUGUCUGGUAGAAUGAGUAUUUAUUAAUGCUGAUGGCGUUUCGUUUAUUACAGAGUAUCCGGCAGCACGACGCGUGAGAAGGCACCACGAUCUGUACACUCUCGCGGCUAUGUCACUCGAGCUCGCAAGGCUCUCGC